ACGGGACACCUGCAUCUGCCAACAAGACUGGAAGCAGAAAGGGACAGAGACGGCGAAGUUUGACGGUCUGGAAAGCAGAGACCAGCAGGGCUGACUGCUUGGGAGCACCAAAUAUCCGGACAGCGCCUCUCGGGAGGUCCGAGAAGAGAACCGCGAUCUGUUUCAGCACCGGGGCUCAGGACAGUUCCCAGCGGGCUCCGUUUCGUCUCCAGAACCCUGGACAGCUCCUCCAGCCUCCCAAAGUGCUAGGAUUACAGGCGUGAGUCACUGCGCCUGGCCCAAGUCCGGAAUUUUCAACAGGACAUGGGUGUUACUGUGCCCAUGUGACAUUUGGGGAACCCAAGGCCCUGAGAAAGGCAGAAAAAUAACCCACGCAGGGACUCUCAGCCCACAAGUGAAGCUGAGAACCGGGAAUGGAAAACAGGGAGGCAGCACAGAGGCAGGAAACUCAGGUGUCAUAGCUUGGCUCAGCCUCAGGGCUUUUGCCUCUGCUGUUCCUGCAGCUUGGAAUGCACUCCCUCCACCUCCAACCAGAGCUCCCCACAACUGACCCUGCCUUCUUCUGCAAGCUCCAUUUCAUCAAGGGAAACGAUCCUUAUUGCCUCACCAUUUCCCACGUGAAGUCUGUAUUGACAUUCUCAUAGACCUGGGAUAUUGUGUCUGCAGCACAUAGUCCAAUUAUUUUCAUGUUAUCUACUGACAGGUCUAUUUGUCUCCCUGUUACACUGUGAGCUCCGUGAGGGCAGAAACAAUGUUAGUAUUUUCACUGCUGUGUCCCCAGCGCCUGGUCCGGGGCCCGGCACACAGCAGGCAUAUAAUAAGCAUGUGUUGAAUCAAUAAAGGCAUCAAAGAAUAAACCAAUACAUCAAUCAAUAAA
rnacentral:lncRNA from 1 species